UCUGGAAACUNUCUGACUUGAGUGCAGAAGGGGAGAGUGGAAUNCCAUGUGUAGCGGUGAAAUGCGUAGAUAUAUGGAGGAACACCAGUGGCGAAAGCGGCUCUCUGGUCUGUCACUGACGCUGAGGCUCGAAAGCGUGGGUAGCGANCAGGAUUAGAUACCCUGGUAGUNCACGCCGUAAACGAUGAGUGCUAGGUGUUAGGCCCUUUCCGGGGCUUAGUGCCGGAGCUAACGCAAUAAGCACUCCGCCUGGGGAGUACGACCGCAAGGUUGAAACUCAAAGGAAUUGACGGGGGCCCGCACAAGCGGUGGAGCAUGUGGUUUAAUUCGAAGCAACGCGAAGAACCUUACCAGGUCUUGACAUCCCGAUGCUAUUCUUAGAGAUAGGAAGUUACUUCGGUACAUCGGAGACAGGUGGUGCAUGGUUGUCGUCAGCUCGUGUCGUGAGAUGUUGGGUUAAGUCCCGCAACGAGCGCAACCCUUAUUGUUAGUUGCCAUCAUUAAGUUGGGCACUCUAGCGAGACUGCCGGUAAUAAACCGGAGGAAGGUGGGGAUGACGCCAAAUCAUCAUGCCCCUUAUGACCUGGGCUACACACGUGCUACAAUGGUCGGUACAACGAGUUGCGAGCCGGAGACGGCAAGCUAAUCUCUGAAAGCCGAUCUCAGUUCGGAUUGGAGGCUGCAACUCGCCUCCAUGAAGUCGGAAUCGCUAGUAAUCGCGGAUCAGCACGCCGCGGUGAAUACGUUCCCGGGCCUUGUACACACCGCCCGUCACACCACGAGAGUUUGUAACACCCGAAGUCGGUGAGGUAACC
rnacentral:rRNA from 1 species